GAUUAUGGCUCAGGAUGAACGCUGGCGGCGUGCCUAAUACAUGCAAGUCGAACGAGGGUAGUAAUACCCUAGUGGCGAACGGGUGAGUAACGCGUGAACAACCUGACCCAAAGAGGGGGAUAACAUUUGGAAACAGAUGCUAAUACCGCAUAAGACCACAACGUCACAUGGCGAAGGGGUCAAAGGAGCAAUCCGCUUUGGGAGGGGUUCGCGUCCCAUUAGGUAGAUGGCGGGGUAACGGCCCACCAUGCCAACGAUGGGUAGCCGAGCUGAGAGGCUGAUCGGCCACACUGGAACUGAGACACGGUCCAGACUCCUACGGGAGGCAGCAGUGGGGAAUAUUGGGCAAUGGGCGCAAAGCCUGACCCAGCAACGCCGCGUGAGGGAAGAAGGUUUUCGGAUUGUAAACCUCUGUCGCAGAAGACGAAGGAAGUGACGGUAUUCUGUGAGGAAGCCCCGGCUAACUACGUGCCAGCCGCGGC
rnacentral:rRNA from 1 species